rnacentral:SRP_RNA from 1 species
GGGGGGGUCCUAACCACCCUUACAGGGGGAACCAGGCCAGGCCCGGAAGGGAGCAACCUAACCCCUGACGUCGACGUUCGUAGGUCACCGGUAGGAG